GGACUACAAGGGUAUCUAAUCCCGUUCGCUCCCCUAGCUUUCGCGCCUCAGCGUCAGAAGAGGUCCAGCACGUCGCUUUCGCCACCGGCGUUCCUUCCGAUAUCAACGCAUUUCACCGCUCCACCGGAAGUUCCACAUGCCCCUACCUCCCUCGAGACGACCAGUAUCAAAGGCUAUUUUCCGGUUGAGCCGAAAGAUUUCACCCCUGACUUGGUCCUCCGCCUACGCGCCCUUUAAGCCCAGUGAUUCCGAACAACGUUUGCACGGUUCGUCUUACCGCGGCGGCUGGCAC
rnacentral:rRNA from 3 species